GGAGGGAUCGCAUAGUUGGUCUAGUGCGCGCGCUUGGAAAGCGCGUAAGGUGCAAGCCUUCGAGGGUUCGAAUCCCUCUCCCUCCGCCA
rnacentral:tRNA from 1 species